ensembl:lncRNA
GUACAAAUGUUCCUCUCAGAAGAGGAUGAAAGCUGCUUGGCCUGAGUUUUGCAGCAUAGACUUCACAGACUUGUUCUACUAUAUAUGCAAUGGCUGCUAUGAAAAAUGCUUUAUAUAUAUAUAAUAUUUAUAUAUAAAGUUUUAAUUGUACAAAUAUUAACGUAUUCCUGUAUUAACACUUUCCAGUAAUUAUUUAAACAAGCAAAAAUUAAAUAUUUUUCUAACCUUGUUUGUAUAUAUCUAUGUAUAAAUGUGCAUGUGUCUGUAGCCACCUUUGGAGAGGAGAGGUCUUGGAAUGAUGCAGCGUCCCCAUGUUGAGGAGAACGCGUCACUGAUGCUGGGAGGAGGUUACCCCUGGGGUAACACAGCGUUUGUUUUAUGCACAGAGACAUGGCCAGGGAGAAGGCAGGGGAAUGAUUAACGUUAAUGACCUUGUGUGCUGCAGGGGCAUCGCUUUGCAGGGGGUGGCUGUUCUCUCUCACACACCACCUGCUUUCUCUACUUUUUCCUUAUUUUUUUUGUUUGGGGGUUUUUUUCCUCCCUUUUUUUUUAUUUCCCCCCCAUAUAUAAAGAAGGUCUGGAAGGUAUUUACUUUUCAAAAAAUACUUCUGGUUUGUCCUUGUAACCUGUUACAUUAUUCCAGAGUUUCACGUGUUUCUGUUGCGGUACCUUUGUCUGGCUGCUGUAGUUCAAUGUGUUUGAGCCCUCUCUGAAGGCUCCGGAAAUGCAAGACUCAAGUUCAAAGUCAGUUACUUUUUUUCCUGAGUCUUUAUUUUAAUGAAUCUCCCAAAAAUGGAAACCCGAGUUGUUACAUGAGGUAGAAUGGGUUGAGUGAUGUUACUCUUGGGGAGUUUGGGUGGGAUUGCAGUUCACUGUGACCUGUUUAGAUUGAGCUAUCUCCAUCUUUUCCUCAGAUCAUUUUUUAUCUUUAGUCAUUUAUGGUGAGCAAUUAAACAUUUCAUGUUCAGGAAAUGUAUUCUUGGUUUAAUUAAAGAUAGUUACCAAAUCACAUAUAGAUGUUUUGAUAGUCCUUGUAACCAAAAGGAGAUGCAGAGUCAUUCCUUGUCCUUUUCAGAUCUCCCCCCAUGAGGAAGGGGGGAAUUGGGUGGGUGAGGGUAAGAGGGUUUUGUGUUUUGAGAGAUCAAAGUCACUGUCAGGGUAGAACUUAAUUCCCUUCAUCUUCUCGGUACGAUGUUGGCAUCCCACCGUGGCUUCCCGUUCACCCUGUGGGUAAGUGCUGUUCUGCUAACCUUGUAUUGCUUAAUGGAAGAGUUAUUUAUUUACAGUAGCAAGGAAUUAAGAAUUGCUAUGGCAAACUUCACCCCUCUUUUCUAAGGAAUUAUUUUAGCAUGGUUUCAAAUGAUUUAUCCAAUCUCAUUAAUUUAUUUUUUGUAAGUGUUAAAAGAUGCAAGACAAUUAUUGCAAUAUAAUGAUAAUGUAUGAAAAUGUAAAUUUAACCUGAAGCAUUUAUCAAUAAAUCGAUGUAUUUUUUUAAACUUUUAUACCUACAGAAUGUGCAUACUUUUUGAACUAUAAAUUUAAAUUCUAAAUAAAAUUCGAAUUAAGAACAAAA